ACUCUCUAUCUGCUUCAGUGUUUUGUUUUCCUGGAAUAUGUGCAACUGUUAACCAAACAUGGUCAACCAGAUUUAUUGCGAAAGUUGAUUGUUCACUCAAGAAUGGCAUGUAUCCAUUUGGUUAAUUGUUGUCACAGCAGUAGUGUUAUCAACUAGGAGUUUCACAUGUUUAUUUUGAACUACACUUAAGAAAGAUUUUAAGGCAAGGAAAACAACAAACAUUUCCAAAUAGUUAAUGUCAUGCUCUGCUUCUUCAGGGGACCACUACCCUCCAGAAGUGACUGUAUCAAUACAGCACCCCCAUCCAAGCAGGGAAGCAUCUGUUGUCAUAGUAACCUGGUGGUCUCCAUGGUUGAUCAGGGUAUAUGCUGUGGGCAGAUCUAUGGAUGCCAUGUAGCACCCUGGCUUCACUAGCCGGAUUGCAGACCAGAUGUUGUCCAUUUUAAAAUGGUGCUCUAACAGAAGUUUGUUCGUGGUGCGGCGUCCUUGUUUCCAAAUGCAGAUUUGUUUGUCCUGAAACCGACUGAGGAACACAGAAGCCUUACAUUACCAAUAAAAUUUUGAAAAUGC